UACGUAGGGGGCUAGCGUUAUCCAGAUUUACUGGGCGUAAAGCGCGCGCAGGCGGUCCUUUAAGUCUGAUGUGAAAGCCCACGGCUCAACCGUGGAGGGUCAUUGGAAACUGGGGGACUUGAGUGCAGGAGAGAAAAGUGGAAUUCCACGUGUAGCGGUGAAAUGCGUAGAGAUGUGGAGGAACACCAGUGGCGAAGGCGACACGCUGGGCCGUACCUGACACUGAUGCGCGACAGCAUGGGGAGCAAACAGG
rnacentral:rRNA from 1 species